rnacentral:rRNA from 1 species
AAACUAGGAUUAGAUACCCUAUUAUUUUAGAAUGUUAAUUUUUUUGCUUGAGUAGUAUUAGGUAUGUUCUUGAAACUUAAAGAAUUUGGCGGUAUCUUAUUCCGUUCAGAGGAAUCUGUCUCGUUAUCGAUAGUCCGCGUUGGACCUUACUUAGUUGCUAUGGUUUGUAUACCGCCGUUUAUUGAUUAUGCUUUUAGGGUUUAUUAAUUUUCUGGUUUCUUUAUUUUGAUUUAUUUCAGGUCAAGGUGCAGCUUGUUUCUAAGUGUUAUUGAUGGAUUACAUUGUUCUUUGUUGUUUGGAUUAUUGGUUGGAUUAUUAGUAUGAAAUUGGAUUUGAUUGUAAUGUCUUGUAGAUUGUUUUCGUGAUAUGGGUUCUAAGAUAUGUACACAUCGCCCGUCGCUCUCGUUUGUUGUUAAUGAGAUAAGUCGUAACAUAGUA